rnacentral:rRNA from 1 species
GCUCAAAUUUGAAAUCUCACAGGGUUACCUGUGCGAAUUGUAGUUUAGAGAAACGUUUUCGGGGGCGACUUGGUUAUAAGUCCUUUGGAAUGAGGCAUCAUAGAGGGUGAGAAUCCCGUUUAUGAUCCAAUGUUCGCUCCUAUGUGAUACGUUUUCCAAGAGUCAGGUAGUUUGGGAUUGCUGCCUAAAAUGGGUGGUAAAUACCAUCUAAAGCUAAAUAUUGGCGAGAGACCGAUAGCGAACAAGUACCGUGAGGGAAAGAUGAAAAGAACUUUGAAAAGAGAGUUAAACAGUACGUGAAAUUGCCAAAAGGGAAACGCUUGGAACCAGUAUUGCCUCCAGGUAAUCAGCCGCACGUCCCGAAAGGGGUGCGUGUGGUGCACUUGCCUGUAGGCAGGCCAACAUCAGUUUGGUUUGGGGUAAAAAGCCGGAGGAAGGUAGCUUGGGCUUCGGCCUGAGUGUUAUAGCCUCCGGUCAUGCCUUGGACUGGACUGAGGACUGCAGCGUUAUUUGGAUACCCGAUCGCCUCCUGAACCUUUUCCGUAGACAGCAUGCUGACUAUGUAGAAGUCUAGGGAGCCCGGUCGGUUUGUCACACCAGCGCUUAGGAUGUUGGCGAAAUGGUUCCAAACGACCCGUCUUGAAACACGGACCAAGGAGUCUAACAUAUAUGCGAGUAUUUGGGUGGCAAACCCUUAUGCGAAAUGAAAGUAAACUUAGGUGGGAUCUUCGGUGCACCAUCGACCGGUCUGGAUUUUUUUGAUAGAUCUGAGUAAGAGCAUAUCUGUUGGGACCCGAAAGAUGGUGAACUAUGCCUGAAUAGGGUGAAGCCAGAGGAAACUCUGGUGGAGGCUCGUAGCGAUUCUGACGUGCAAAUCGAUCGUCAAAUUUGGGU